rnacentral:lncRNA from 1 species
GAAACCUUGGUGUCUUCCAACUGGUAAGAAGUAGUUGAAGCUGAGCUGAACAUGUCAUCUGUUCUUAAAUUUAUCAAUUAGGGGAUGGAGUCUCACUAUGCUGCUCAAGGUGGUCUCAAACUCCUCGGCUUAAGUGAUCCCUCUGCCUCAGCUUCCUAAGUGCUGUCAUUACAGUUGUAAGCCACCACACCUAGUCCUCAACUUUGUUUAGUCAUAGCAUUGCCUAUAUCUAUUUUGAAUAUUACUCUUCUAGAAUCUACCAUAUCUGUGACUCUUGGAUAUGGUAAAAUAAACUAUUGUGAAUUAAUCUCCUAUACUGGAAAUUUAUGUGGCAUAGUCAUAAACUAUUUUGUUUUCUUUGUUUUCCUGUCUAUUUUGCUUAGCCUAUUAAAGAAAUAA